CUGCUUCCACUUAUAGACCUUGAGUAGUUUGUGGCUGUUCUUUUGGUUUGCACUAGGAUGUUAAAGAAACUGCUCCCUGUGCAUCCUGCCUGUCUUUGUGGUCCAGACUGAAGCGAGGGGUGCAUCG